AGUGAACGCUGGCGGUAGGCCUAACACAUGCGAGUCGAACGGCAGCACAGUAAGAGCUUGCUCUUACGGGUGGCGAGUGGCGGACGGGUGAGGAAUACAUCGGAAUCUACUUUUUCGUGGGGGAUAACGUAGGGAAACUUACGCUAAUACCGCAUACGACCUACGGGUGAAAGCAGGGGAUCUUCGGACCUUGCGCGAUUGAAUGAGCCGAUGUCGGAUUAGCUAGUUGGCGGGGUAAAGGCCCACCAAGGCGACGAUCCGUAGCUGGUCUGAGAGGAUGAACAGCCACAAUGGAACUGAGAACCGGUCCAGACUCCUACGGGAGGCAGCAGUGGGGAAUAUUGGACAAUGGGCGCAAGCCUGAUCCAGCCAUACCGCGUGGGUGAAGAAGGCCUUCGGGUUGUAAAGCCCUUUUGUUGGGAAAGAAAAGCAGCAGGUUAAUACCCCGCUGUUCUGACGGUACCCAAAGAAUAAGCACCGGCUAACUUCGUG
rnacentral:rRNA from 1 species